GCCGGGCUCGUUCGGGAGCGGAUGGCGAGGCGGACCGGAGAGGUCUGGGCGCAUGAAGCUAGUUGCGUGCGGAGAGCGGCAUCUGCCCGAAAAGGCUACAGUGCUCGUUGUACAGGUAGACACUAAUUAUGUUGUACAUCAUCUGCCAUUUUUCUGGCAUGAACAGCCUGCUGGCACAAGUCAGUGGAAAUUCAACAUUCAUUAAGGGAUAUGCAGGCUAAACAAAUGUGCCUUGCCUCAGUGCUGCUUUAAAAGACAGAGAACCUUGAAUCAAAUAUUUGAUACAAACCUCUGACACUUAAUGAGGCCAUCUUUUCUCUCCCUCUUCUGGACCACAGCAAUAGGGACAGCUGGAAAAACUAUGGAGAAAGCCCUGUCUGAUCACAUGGCAGACAACUGCACAGUGCAGAACAUUAAUGUAAAUGCAACUGAGAUUUCUGGAAGGAGCAAGCACGCAGGGUGUUUCUGCAAAUAACAUAUUUUUACUUUGAGCUCAUCCCGGGAACCUCUGUGCAGCAGUGUAAGGGCAGCCACUGACAACCAUAUGUUCUAUCUGCACAAAAAUGGGGGUGUAAUUUUUUUUUAAAUCAGAUCUUUAAAGACAAGUAUCUAUAAACUGACAGAUCUGUGUUAUUUUUGGCCUCGGCUUGCAUUAACUCAGAAGUUGGGCAGAAAACUGUUCUAUUCUCUUUUUUGUUUAACUAUUCAAAUUAACAGAUGCAUUUCCUAUCAUUUGGUGCUUUUUCUGUCAAUAACACACAAAUCCCAUGGAAACAUGCCAAAGAUUUUCUUAGCAACCAAGCCUUUUGCCUGAUAUACACAAUUAACUACAACAGUCUGUUAAAAGCUUAAAAUAAACCGUCUUUUUAGAA